CAAUUAAGCUGUUUCUGUGUGUCACUUCCCUUGUGGAAUGGAGCUCACUGAACCUCUCUGAUGGCUGCCCGAUCGUUCUGAUGGUUUGCAAAUUGUUCUUUGUUCAAAUUAAACCCUGCUAAAUUUAAUUUGUCUAAAGUUUUUAUUAACAACAGAAAACUAUUGAUUACCUUUUUUUGUGGGCUAUGAUUUUCAGAUAGGAAUAUUAAGGAGUAAGUGGGGAAAAUUGCUUAGAGCCAGGGCUACAAGGCCUGGAAGAAAAGGGACUGAAAAGCUGAGAGGGGAACUGGCACAGAGAAAGGGGUGAGGAUGGAGAGGGUAGAAUGCAAAGAGUAAGGACCUGAAGAGGCUGAGAUUUGGCUGAAGAGGGACAACCUGAAUAGAGAAAC
rnacentral:lncRNA from 1 species